rnacentral:rRNA from 1 species
UACAGAGGGGGCAAGCGUUGUUCGGAAUUACUGGGCGUAAAGGGCGCGUAGGCGGCCUGUUAAGUCGAACGUGAAAUCCCUGGGCUCAACCCAGGAACUGCGUCCGAUACUGGCAGGCUUGAAUCCGGGAGAGGGAUGUGGAAUUCCAGGUGUAGCGGUGAAAUGCGUAGAUAUCUGGAGGAACACCGGUGGCGAAGGCGGGAUCCUGGGCCAGUACUGACGCUGAGGAGCGAAAGCGUGGGGAGCAAACAGG